GGGCACAUCACGUUGAAACACCAGUUCCCGUACGAUCACCGAAGUUAAGCAACGUCGAAUCUGGUCAGUAUCUAGAUACAUGUCCACUUUGGAAUACCAGGUGCUGGAAG